CUCAUGAUGAUGAACUUUGCCCUCCUUAGGAGCUGAACCACUGGAGCUGGCCUGGCUCUGAACAUGAAUUUAGCAGAGGACAAUUCUUCCUCUUCCUUAGAGAAGACCUCAGAUUGUCCAGAGCACCAAGCAGCCACUCCACAUCCUGGAAUUAGCCCUCUGUCUUCCACAUACUGCUCUGUCAAUGUGGAAGGGGAUGGUACCCAUCCUACUAGCCCAUCUCAAGAACCUGUUUCAACCAACACUGCAAGCCCAGCUGAAACACCUGGUUUGACCAAAUUUUCUAGUUUGGCACAAACACCCAUUUCAACUAGCCCUGCUAGCCUGUCUAAAACAUAUAGUUUGACACACACACCUAUUCUGUAUGAAACACCCGCUUUUACUAACCCUGCUGGCCCAGCUCAGGGAUUUGUUUCAACCAACCCUGUUAGCUUACUUCAAACAACUGUUUUAACCAAUCCUGCUAGCCCAGCUGAAACGAUUGUUUCAACCAACCCUGUUAGCUUACUUCAAACAACUGUUUUAACCAAUCCUGCUAGCCCAGCUGAAACGAUUGUUUCAACCAACCCUGUUAGCUUACUUCAAACAACUGUUUUAACCAACCCUGCUAGCCCACCUCAAACCGCUGUUUCACCCAACCCUACUAGCCCGUCUGGACCUAUUGGUUCACCCCAUAAACAGAGCACAGCUGAAGAAGGAAUUGUGUCAUGGCCCCAGGGUAAACAAUCCAAUAGGGGAAGGCCACCAAAACAUCUGACUGUUCCUAAACAUCGGCACCAGUUCUCUACACAUGCACGCCCAUGUCUUCAGCCAGCUACCCAAAUGGACUCUGUGAAAGGGACAAAGCCUCUGUCGCCAAGCCUGCGUGCGCCUGAGGACAACUUCCAGGCACCUGAUGCCAAAACAGAGGCUAGGACAGAGCUACUGUCACCUAGCUCACCUUCUCCUGAGGAUGGGUGUUUGGUACCUGAGGCCUCUGAACCAACAAAUCCCUCCAGAGAUUUACAGAGUCCUUGUGAGGGCCAGAGUAAGAACAGUCCCAACCUCUCGAGUGCUUCUGUCAGACAAGGAGACCCAGCAAGCCCUAAUGUUUUAACCAUUGGUGAACAUACAGACUCACAGGCCAGAGAGGAGCGUGAACCCAGACAGACAUAUGAUAACAUUGGCACUGGGAUAGUUUUAAGCAAACGUAUCAAAGCGCAAAGGACCCUCUACCAAUCACCACUGCAUCUGAUAGGUAAAAAGUGUACUCGAAAAACGUUUAAGGUCAGCCAGACACCGAAGACUGACUGUUUACAGCAGGCUGACAUUGUGAGAGAGGGUAUGAAUGUAAAUAGAAAUGUACCCAGGAUUAAGACAGAACAGGAGACUUUCCAGUCAAAAGAGACUUUAGGAAAGAGGAAAUAUGUAAAAAGAACUCAGAUCUGCAAGGUAGGUCAGACGAAGAACACCGAUCUGAGGCUAGGGAGUGAGUCUUCGAGAAUGGAGAAAAAGACACCGGGAAAAUCAACAACCCUUAAGGUAGACACGUCACGUGGGACCAUGAGAAAGAGGAAGUAUCCAAGUAAAUGUAAAACCCCUGAUGUAGACCAAUCACAGGAGUCUCUAACAAAAACCAAACAGGUGUCUAAAACAUUGCGGAACAAUAAGGUAGAGCAGUCACAAGAGUCUGGAACAAAAACCAAACUGGUGUCUAAAAUAGCUGGAACCCAUAAGGUAGACAAAUCACAAGAGACUGAUCAAUCACAAGAGUCUGUGAAAAAAAGGAAAUACACAAAGAAAUCAAACUCCCACAAGACUCACCAGUCAGAGGAGAUUAUGAAAAUUGGAAAAAAUGCAACUAAUAAAUCACUUAGGAAUAAGAUAGACCAGGCAGCGUCCAUAAAAUCACAAAGCCAUAUGGUUGCAAAGUCACUGGCUGUUGACAGACCACAGAAGACAGUGAGAAAGAGGAGAAAUACAAACAAGUCAGAGAGUUCUAAGGUAGAUUCACAGGAGACUGUGAUAAAUGAGCACAAUAAUACAUCCGAGUCACAGAGUCAUACAGUAGACCAGGAGACUUUGAUAAAUGAGGAAAAGAUAUCAAAGAAAUCUAGAAAUGAAAAGGUACAGUCACUGGAAACAGAUCAGUCACAGGAAGAGCCUGUAAAAAGGAGGAAAUAUAUUAGGAAAUCCCAGAGUCAUAAGGAAGUCUUCACUGUCGCCUCCUCAGUCCCUGUGCUGUCUGCAGACCUUUCUUCUCCCCUGUUAAACUCUCCUGGUGUCCCAAAGAGGAAGUAUAGAAGAAAAUCAGAGGCCCACGUUUUGGUCUCAGAUGUUCCCUCAGACCCUGUACUAUCUGCAGGACUUCUCCCCAGCCUCUCUCCUCCUGGCCUCCCCUUCUCACCCAAAACACAGAAGAGAAGGAGAGGCAGACCACUACAUGUCCAGCAGCAGCUCCAUCUCACCUCCACACCAGAUCCGCACCCCAGGUCCUUCGGAGGAACCGACAGCCCCUCUCCUGCAUCCCCGUCUUCCUUGGGAAUGUGCUCCAAGACAGAAGGCCAGAACAACGUCUCACCCAUCCACCCUUGGAAACAGUUGGAAACUACCCCUUUCAGGAAGACAGUCCAGCCAGGCACAGCUUUACCCGGCAGGAAACGUCGCGGAAGACCCAGAGUUAGGGAUGCCGCUCCACCGAAGGGAGGGAAGACUGCGAAUGCUGCAGUGGUUUCAGGGACCCAGACCUGUGGCUGUGAGGAGGGGCGCCCGGCCAAACGCAGGCGUGGAACCAUGAUCCAGGACCAGGGCCAGACAGCAGAGCGGUCAGAGCUGCAGAGCGACCAGACCACUAGCGCUGACCCAUUCCGACGCUCCAGGCCGCGGUUUUUCCUGGAGGAGUCCGACUCGCCGGACAAAGACACGGGAGAGGCCUCCCUCUCCUCAGACCUGUCCAUAGAGCUGAGCCUACAGGAAGACCAUGUGACAUCACUAUCCUUCGAAGCGGAGGAGGAAGAUGAGCAAGAGGAUGAGGAAGAUCUGCCUAGUUUUCUAAAUAACACAAGUAAGUGAGCGGGUGAGACGCUGUGGGUGUGCUUAGGUAUAUGCCGUUUUUAAUAAGAUUUACAGUUAGGUCCGGAAAUAAUUGGACACUGAAACAAGUUUUGGCAUUUUGGCUGUUAACUGAAAUAUAUUCAAGUUACAGUUAAAUGAAAUGAAUAUGGUCUUAAAGUGCGGACUCUCAACUUUAAUGUGAGGGUAUUCACAUCCAAAUUGGAGGUAGGGUUUUGGAAUUACUGUUCGUAUAUGUAGCCCCCUCAUUUUGAAGGGACCAAAAGUAAUUGGACAGUUGACUCAAAAGCUAUUUCAUGGACAGGCAUUGGC
ensembl:lncRNA